GACUUUGUCGCGUAGUGAUAGGGCUUCCGUCCGGCAAACGGGAGUCGUAGGUUCGAACCCUAUCGCCGUUU
rnacentral:tRNA from 1 species